AGAGUUUGAUCAUGGCUCAGAAUCAACGCUGGCGGCGUGCCUCAGACAUGCAAGUCGAACGAUUAAAGCUCUCUUCGGAGAGUGCAUAGAGUGGCGCACGGGUGAGUAACACGUAAGUAAUCUACCUUUGAGUGGGGAAUAACAGUCGGAAACGACUGCUAAUACCGCAUAAUGCAGCGGCAUCGCAAGAUGACAGUUGUUAAAGAUUUAUCGCUUGAAGAGGAGCUUGCGGCAGAUUAGCUAGUUGGUAAGGUAAUGGCUUACCAAGGCUACGAUCUGUAACCGGUCUAAGAGGACGGUCGGUCACACUGACACUGAACAACGGGUCAGACUCCUACGGGAGGCAGCAGUCGGGAAUUUUGGGCAAUGGGCGAAAGCCUGACCCAGCAACGCCGCGUGAAGGAUGAAGUAUUUCGGUAUGUAAACUUCGAAAGAAUGGGAAGAAUAAAUGACGGUACCAUUUAUAAGGUCCGGCUAACUACGUGCCAGCAGCCGCGGUAAUACGUAGGGACCAAGCGUUGUUCGGAUUUACUGGGCGUAAAGGGCGCGUAGGCGGCUUGACAAGUCACUUGUGAAAUCUCCGGGCUUAACUCGGAACGGCCAAGUGAAACUGUCAUGCUAGAGUGCAGAAGGGGCAAUCGGAAUUCUUGGUGUAGCGGUGAAAUGCGUAGAUAUCAAGAGGAACACCUGAGGUGAAGACGGGUUGCUGGGCUGACACUGACGCUGAGGCGCGAAAGCCAGGGGAGCAAACGGGAUUAGAUACCCUAGUAGUCC
rnacentral:rRNA from 1 species